rnacentral:lncRNA from 1 species
GUGGCAAUAAAAUUUCACUGAGUGUUUAUAAAGAGACUUCAGAAAUGCUGCACAAAGGUGAAGAUGGUACUGCUUUUCAGUGGGAGCAAUUGUUCUACUGACAACACAUGUUGCCAUAGCAUUUUAUUAUCAUUUUUCACCAGUCCCUUUGCCGUUGCUGGCAGUCAAGGAGGCAACACUGUGGCAGGAUAUGUUGAUAUCUGUUGUUGUUUCCCACUGGUCUCAUUGGGAACUGAUCCCAGCUUUGUUUCUGCCCUAUGGUCAUCCAGGACCCAGUUCUCCAGACUGCUGUGAGUAGUAUGUAAUCACUGAGUUGGGGAUAUUUGGUAUAUCUUAGUUUUGGGCUGCUCUCCUGUACUUGCUGAGGC